rnacentral:rRNA from 1 species
CCCCCCGACCGACUUGAGAUUAGCCUAGCUAACUGCAGAGUGAAGCGGGAAAAGCUCAAAUUUAAAAUCUGGUGGUCUUUGGCCAUCCGAGUUGUAAUUUAGAGAAGCGUCUUCCGCGCUGGACCGUGCAUAAGUCUCCUGGAAUGGAGCGUCAUAGAGGGUGAGAAUCCCGUCUUUGGCACGGACCCCCAGGGCUUCUGUGAUGCGCUCUCAAAGAGUCGAGUUGUUUGGGAAUGCAGCUCAAAAUGGGUGGUGAACUCCAUCUAAAGCUAAAUAUUGGCGAGAGACCGAUAGCGAACAAGUACCGUGAGGGAAAGAUGAAAAGCACUUUGGAAAGAGAGUGAAACAGUACGUGAAAUUGUUGAAAGGGAAACGCUUGAAGUCAGUCGCGUUGACUGAGACUCAGCCUCGCCUCGGCUUGGUGUACUUCUCAGCUGACGGGUCAGCAUCAAUUUCGAUCCUUGGAUAAUGGCAAAGGAAAGGUAGCACCUUUACAGGUGUGUUAUAGUUCUCUGUCGGAUGCAAGGGUCGGGAUUGAGGAACUCAGCAUGCACCCUUGUUGGUGUCGGGGCCUUGGCCUACGUUACAUGCUUAGGAUGCUGGCAUAAUGGCUUUAAACGACCCGUCUUGAAACACGGACCAAGGAGUCUAACAUGCACGCGAGUGUUCGGGUGGAAAACCCGUGCGCGUAAUGAAAGUAAAAGUUGGGACCUCUGUCGUGGAGGGCACCGACGCCCGGACCAGACCUUCUGUGACGGCUCUGCGGUAGAGCGUGUAUGUUGGGACCCGAAAGAUGGUGAACUAUGCCUGAAUAGGGUGAAGCCAGAGGAAACUCUGGUGGAGGCUCGUAGCGAUUCUGACGUGCAAAUCGAUCGUCAAAUUUGGGUAUAGGGGCGAAAGACUAAUCGAACCAUCUAGUAGCUGGUUCUGCCGAGUCCCCCUCAAGGAAUAACAGCUACUAGAAUGGUUUCGAUUAAGUCUUUCGCCCUUAUACAAAUUUGACGAAUGAUUGCACGUCGGAAUCCUACGAGCCUCCACAGAGUUUCUCUGCUUCACCUAAUCAGCAUAAGUUACAUCUUCGGGUUCAAUAACCGCCUACGCGAGCCUUACAGAGGUUGGUUCGGGCUCGGGUCUCCAGCGAGUCAAUUACUUCUAUACGCAGUUUCCACGACUUCGCUGAGUGGACCUGUCGAUUCAGACGGCUUGAGCCUAUGCACUAGAGUAUGCAGCAGUCUUA